rnacentral:rRNA from 1 species
CUAAACUGAGGGAGGUACGUCGAAACUGACCGGCUAGAGGGACGUAGAGGUAAGCGGAACUCUCGGAGUAGCGGUGAAAUGCGUAGAGAUCGAGAGGUACCCCGAUGGUGAAGACAGCUUACUGGGCGUCUCCUGACGCUGAAGCGCUAAGGCCAGGGGAGCGAAGGGGAUUAGAUACCCCCGUAGUCCUGGCUUCAAACGAUGUGGGCUUGGUGUCGGCCCCCUAUAGAGGGUCGUUGCCGGAGUUAACGCGUUAAGCCCACCGCCUGGGGAUUACGUCCGCAAGGAUGAAACUCAAGGGAAUUGACGGGGGCCCACACAACCGGUGGAGCACGUGGUUUAAUUCGAUGAUAAGCGAAGAACCUUACCAGGGCUUGACCUAGCGGUAGUAGAACCCCGAAAGGGGAACGACCUCAAGCUUUGCUUGAGGAGCC